AACACGUUGUCGGUCAAUGUAGACUUGAUUAUCAAGAGAAAACUUUUUGGGAAGGAGAAGGUCGCGGCGUGACUUGUUUAUAUAUUAUAAUCAUGGUGGUAAAGAGAAAGUUCAAUAAACAUUUACUGUAUGACAAGAUACAUAGAGUUACUGUCACUGGAUUAAUGGGAUUAACUGGUUUUAGUAUUCUUCUACUUGGUCAUCAAAUUUACACAUAUUAUGCAUAUGUUAGACCGAACAAAUCGGCCGAGCGUCAAAAAAUGCUGGAAGCACAAAUCUUAAAAGAACAACACGAGAAGGAAGAUGAAUAUUACAGAUUGAGACGGGAGCGUGAAACCUUGAAAUCAUAAAGAAAUUAUACAGUCACGUUCUAGUUUUAUUUUUAACAAAACAUUUUAUACAGAGCUAGAACAGUUUUGUGAAUGACAAUUCAUGUAAAUAAAUCAUUAAAUGAGUUAAUUAGGGGUCAAGAGGUCAACGGUUGUCAUGGAUUUCAGAAAAGAGAGAGAUGUUCAUCUGCCUUAUAUUACUGUUGAUUAAGCAUGUGGGGCUAGAGUUUCUGGCUUUAAAAGACCUGUUGAUCAAGUCACUUAUUGAGCCAAUCUGAUUAAAACAGAGCCAAUUUCGUUUCGUUUUUUAUUGUUCAAAAUUUCGUUUUAUUUGUUUGUACUACACUAGGAUCUGGAAGAGUUGUUAUAUAACCUGCGUUUUGGAUGGCGUGAGGGAUUAGCCAAUGAAACCAAGAAAUGGGAUCUAAAAUUAAUCUUCAAAGCAAGACAUUGAGAAAGAAAGUAGUUUAAUAUUAUUGUACAUUUUUAUAGCACACGGCUUCACAUGCGCUUUACAAAAUAUGGUACAGAAAUUAAAUAAACAAAAUAAAAACUAAAACACAAGUAAGAUACAUGUACGCCUGUGUCCAUUGAAAUAAACUUAAAAUCUUAUAUAUUUCAAUGAAUGCAUGACUAUUGGAUUAACAUUAACAAUACAUUAACGUAGAAUUUAUUCAGUUUGUAUUGUAGUUGAAUAUGUUAUUCAUUAUUUUAAUUUAUUGGUACACUAGAUUCAAUACCCAAUAAAAUUUGUAAAAACUAUCA